AGCUCCAAUAGCGUAUAUUAAAGUUGUUGCAGUUAAAAAGCUCGUAGUUGGAUUUCUGGUGGGAGCGUUGGGCCGGCCCUAAGGGCCUGAGCUCAAAUGUUUUCCGCCAUCCUUGGAGGGAUGUUGUCUGGCAUUAAGUUGUCGGGCUUCCGAUCUCCAUCGUUUACUGUGAAAAAAUUAGAGUGUUCAAAGCAGGCUUAUGCCGUUGAAUACAUUAGCAUGGAAUAAUAAGAUAGGACCUUGGUACUAUUUUGUUGGUUUGCGUACCUAGGUAAUGAUUAAUAGGGACAGUUGGGGAUAUUACUAUUUCGUUGUCAGAGGUGAAAUUCUUGGAUUUACGAAAGAGUAACUACUGCGAAAGCAUUUAUCAAGGAUGUUUUCAUUA
rnacentral:rRNA from 1 species